rnacentral:rRNA from 1 species
CAGCAGCCACGGUAAUACGUAGGUGGCAAGCGUUGUCCGGAAUUAUUGGGCGUAAAGGGCUCGCAGGCGGUUUCUUAAGUCUGAUGUGAAAGCCCCCGGCUCAACCGGGGAGGGUCAUUGGAAACUGGGAAACUUGAGUGCAGAAGAGGAGAGUGGAAUUCCACGUGUAGCGGUGAAAUGCGUAGAGAUGUGGAGGAACACCAGUGGCGAAGGCGACUAUCUGGUCUGUAACUGACGCUGAGGAGCGAAAGCGUGGGGAGCGAACAGGAUUAGAUACCCCCGUAGUCCCUGUCUCUUAUAC